CACCGCCCGUCACACCAUGGAAGUGGUUUGCAGCUGAAACCGCCGGGAGCCUCACGGCAGGCGUCUAGGCUGUGACUCAUGACUGGGGUG
rnacentral:rRNA from 1 species